GGAUGUGAGGGCGAUCUGGCUGCGACAUCUGUCACCCCAUUGAUCGCCAGGGUUGAUUCGGCUGAUCUGGCUGGCUAGGCGGGUGUCCCCUUCCUCCCUCAACGCUCAACGUGCGUCCCUCCCGAAGCUGCGCGCUCGGUCGAAGAGGACGACCUUCCCCGAUAGAGGAGGACCGGUCUUCGGUCAAGGGUAUACGAGUAGCUGCGCUCCCCUGCUAGAACCUCCAAACAAGCUCUCAAGGUCCAUUUGUAGGAGAACGUAGGGUAGUCAAGCUUCCAAGACUCCAGACACAUCCAAAUGAGGCACUGCACGUGGCAGUCUGCCCUCCUUU
rnacentral:snRNA from 1 species